UACGUAGGUCCCGAGCGUUGUCCGGAUUUAUUGGGCGUAAAGCGAGCGCAGGUGGUUUAUUAAGUCUGGUGUAAAAGGCAGUGGCUCAACCAUUGUAUGCAUUGGAAACUGGUAGACUUGAGUGCAGGAGAGGAGAGUGGAAUUCCAUGUGUAGCGGUGAAAUGCGUAGAUAUUAGGAGGAACACCGGUGGCGAAGGCGGCUUACUGGACUGUAACUGACGUUGAGGCUCGAAAGCGUGGGGAGCAAACAGG
rnacentral:rRNA from 1 species